rnacentral:rRNA from 1 species
CAUGCNUAACACAUGCAAGUCGAACGGAAACGAUGGAAGCUUGCUUCCAGGCGUCGAGUGGCGGACGGGUGAGUAAUACUUAGGAAUCUGCCCAGUAGUGGGGGACAACUCGAGGAAACUCGAGCUAAUACCGCAUACGCCCUACGGGGGAAAGCGGAGGAUCUUUCGGGACUUCGCGCUAUUGGAUGAGCCUAAGUCGGAUUAGCUUGUUGGUGAGGUAAAAGCUCACCAAGGCGACGAUCCGUAGCUGGUCUGAGAGGACGAUCAGCCACACUGGGACUGAGACACGGCCCAGACUCCUACGGGAGGCAGCAGUGGGGAAUAUUGGACAAUGGGCGCAAGCCUGAUCCAGCAAUGCCGCGUGUGUGAAGAAGGCCUGCGGGUUGUAAAGCACUUUCAGUAGAGAAGAAAAGCCUACGGUUAAUACCCGUGGGUCUUGACGUAACCUACAGAAGAAGCUCCGGC